UACGAAGGGAGCUAGCGUUGUUCGGAAUCACUGGGCGUAAAGCGCACGUAGGCGGAUGUGUCAGUCAGGGGUGAAAUCCCGGAGCUCAACUUCGGAACUGCCUUUGAUACAGCACGUCUUGAGUCCGAUAGAGGUGGGUGGAAUUCCUAGUGUAGAGGUGAAAUUCGUAGAUAUUAGGAAGAACACCAGUGGCGAAGGCGACUUACUGGACACAUAUUGACGCUGAGGUGCGAAAGCGUGGGGAGCAAACAGG
rnacentral:rRNA from 1 species